AAAACAAUAAAUAAAUAAAUAAAACUACGAGUGACGACUUCUUGAAACCAGGAAGCAACCACUUUCCAUCUCAUAUUCCUAAUGAAGUUGAAGAAAAUGACAGCGUCUGUAAAGCUUCUUAAGACAUCAGAAAUUAUUCUUAAAACCAGAGAGAGUCAGAAUCAACUAGCUGUGGACCAAAUAGCUUUCCAAAAGAAGCUCUUUCAGACCCUGAGGAGACACCCUUCCUAUCCCAAAAUAAUAGAAGAAUUUGUUAGUGGCCUGGAGUCUUACAUUGAGGAUGAAGACAGUUUCAGGAACUGCCUUUUGCCUUGUGAGCUCUGCAGGAUGAGGAAGCCAGGUGUGGAGAGGAGGCAUGGAAUCUUGCUGAAAUUCAGUCUGUUCGGCUAAUUGCGUGGGGCUGGGGAGGGAGAGCGCAGUUGUUUCAAAUUUCAUUUUUGGUGUAAGCUCUCUUUUCCUCAAAGUAAACCUAACUUUGAAAUUCCUAAGCUUGUGGUUAUGAGCCUAACAAUCAGUGUUUUCUAGAAUGUGUUUCACCUGUGUUGACAGAAUUUCUUUUUUUUUCGUUGUUUGAGAUGGAGUCUUGCUCUGUCACGCA